GUAUAUUUAACUUUAUAGGUACAAAAGGACCCAAUUCAACAUUCUAAAACAGAUUCAUAGGUUUGUGAUAAUGACAUAGACCUGAAAAAAUACAAGGGAAAGCCGACUUGAGAUAGCACAGCAGUCCCCAACUCGAAAAUAAAUCAAACAUCUCUCUCAGGUCUACAAUAUGUGCACAGUUGGAGAAAUAAAGAUGACAAGCGUGCACGUAUCCCUCCAAGGAGGGCCAGCAACAGCCUGUUCAAGUUUAUUCAAUAAUGAUCCUUCCGCAGGUUCACCUACGGAAA
rnacentral:misc_RNA from 1 species